rnacentral:sRNA from 1 species
AUUGUCCUCCCCCACCUAAGCCUUUUCCUUGUGGGAGGGGUCGGUUGUGUUGGGAGGGGCCUCAGCGCUGCACUGUGGCCCCCCUGACGUGCUCCCUCUCUGCCUGUGUGCCAGGGACCUCCCAGGUGUGGCUGCCACAGAAGAGACGGGUGUGCCUCUGCUCCUGGUGGACACCGCUGGCUGCGGGCUGUUUGAGCUGGAGGAGGAGGACGAACAGUCGAAAGGGAACCCUGGCGAAGUCCGCCUCGUCAGUUUGCACAUCCAGGCUCUGGUAGACGCUGGUGUUCCAGCCCGUGACAUGGCCGUGGUCUCACCAUACAACCUCCAGGUGGACCUGCUCAGACAGAGCCUCGUGCACAGGCACCCCGAGCUUGAAAUCAAGUCCGUCGAUGGCUUCCAAGGCCGAGAGAAGGAGGCCGUGAUACUGUCCUUCGUCAGGUCCAACAGGAAAGGUGAAGUUGGUUUUCUUGCUGAGGACCGGAGGAUCAACGUGGCUGUCACCCGCGCCCGGCGCCACGUGGCGGUCAUCUGUGACUCCCGUACUGUCAAC